GCGGUAGGAUCAUUGUCGUUUCAAACACUGAACUGUGUAGGGGAGGAGGCAUGUCUCGGCACGUCUGACCUGUCUCUUCCCCGCCCCCGCUCUUGCCAGAGUUUGGACUGGAGUUCUGGUUGCCUUUUUUGCAGUGCCUCGGGGGUCCCCCCUCUAUGGCUUUCUGUCGGGCGGGCAUUCCGGUCUCUGCAAGUCACUCUCUUGCAGUUCAGGCUUAUACUGAAUGGGCGAGCUCGAGUGCUGUCUUCGUUGUGGCAACGAAAGGGCAUCCGUCUUCAGCUGCGAUGGGUGUGGAAGGCCCUACUCCAUCGUAGUUGAGAUGGCCCCUGUACUUUCCACUCUGAUAGGCGGUUCCUCAAAAGCACCCGCGGCAGCUCCGUGGACCAUUGCCUUUUUGGCCGAUACGUGGGGCAGCUGCAACCCCCCGACACAUCAUCAGGAUGGGAUGUGCCGUGCAGAUAUUUCGUCCAUCGGGCGGCUGCACCCGCGUGCGUCACGGGGCAGGGCCGGCAUCCGUGGGCGUUCUCAUCUGUCCGGCCUCUGGCCUUGUGACGUUACGGGGCGGGGACACCCCUUCUCCGAUUUAUCCCAUGAGGCGUCGCCUCUGGUCCCUGGGUGCAUCGCGGGAAGGAGCGUGUCAUUACACCCAACGCAUUGGUGCGGUCAGCUCCAAGGAUUGAUAAGAGAUGGCCGUGCGAUCCGCACGCCGUGCGCGUGUUGGAUCUGCGGUACCACAAGAACAUGACUCUCAGCAAUAGAUAUCUCAGCUCUUGCCACGAUGAAGAAUGUAGCGAAAUGCGAUACUUAGUGUGAAUUGCAGAAUCCCGUGAAUCAUCGAGUCUUUAAACGCAAGUUACGCCUGAGGCCUCGGCCGAGGGCACGUCUGCUUGGUGUCACACUCUAAAAUUGACCUCCCCCGUGCUAUGGGGGAGGAUCGGAGAUGGCCGUCCGUGCCCACCAGUGGUGCGGUUGGCUUAAACGAGCACGGGACUUGUGGCCAAUGUCACGAUGAGCGGUGGCCUGUGUGGGUCGGCGUUGGAUUGUGGCAUGAGGUUACGGCUUUGUGUGGAACUUUAUUUGUGGUUGGUCGCGGCCUUCCUUCGGGAGGGUCUGUCUAUAACUCUUGCGGCCCCAGGUCAGGCAUGAAUACCCGCUGAGUUUAAGCAUAUCAAUAAGCGGAGGA
rnacentral:rRNA from 1 species